GCCCAGACUCCUACGGGAGGCAGCCGUGGGGAAUAUUGCACAAUGGGGGAACCCCUGAUGCAGCACCUCCUCGUGAGUGCAGCAGUCAUUCGUGCUGUCCAGCUCUAUCAUCCUGGAAGAAACUGCCGGUACCUGCUUCCUCAGCCCCGUCUCCCUACGUGCCCUCCUCCGCGGUAAUCCGUCUGGGGCAAUCUUUAUCCGGAUUUCCUGGGUGUAAAGGGAGCGUAGACGGCCAGACAAGUCUGAAGUGAAAAUCCAGCGAGUAACGUUGGAAGUGCUUUGGAAACUGCCGGGCUAGAGUGCAGGAGGGGCAGGCGGAAUGCCUAGUGUAGCGGUGAAAUGCGUAGAGAGGAGGAGGAACACCAGUGGCGAAGGCGGCCUGCUGGACUGCAACUGACGUUGAGGCUCGAAGGCG
rnacentral:rRNA from 1 species